AUAUCCGCGUUUACGGUCACGUACGGCUGUUUUGGUAACGCUGUCGGUAACGUAGCGACGACGCGCCUCGCUGGUCGCGUCCAACAGGGCCACGGUGAUAAACCUACGUCGAAGAAUAAAAAGAAUCCGUGGGACAUUUCGCGGCAAAAGUUUUCGACCCGGAACCCCGGCUGGCUCGAACGUUCCCACGCGCGCGAGACUCGGUCUUCUAGAAUCGUCGCCGGUGCGGUGGAAGUGCGCAGCAAUCGUCGCGGCGAAGUAUUCGCCGGCGCGGGGAAAAGGCGAGCCCGCAUGUUCCGCGCGGCAACGGGAAUCCCGCGUUUUGAAUCGGAUCGCCAGGGCUCGAGGAUCGAUGCUGUCCCAACAUGGAGGGUGAACGGAUUCCGCGAGUUGCCAUAUGGAGAGACCGGUGGGGAAAGGGGAGGAGGUAACAAACAACGCCGGGGGUGUCGGUUGCUUUCGGGUUACUUACAUCAGUUAAGAGCCUCUCGCCUUGGGGGUCGUCGGGACGCGAUGAGAAAACACGUUUCCGCCGAUGGAAGGAUGAUGCCUCGUCUUGCUGGAACACGGUUGGUUCACACCUCUCUAGAUGCACCGUGACGAACAUGUGCCACACCUUGAACAUCCCAGAGCCUGCUCCUGCCGCUCCGACAUUGUGGACUUUUUCUCAGCUGGGGAAAAAGGGAAGGCAUCUACAGGAUAUACGAAGAAUCGGUGAAGAUGGAUUAAUCCGAGUCCCUUUUGUCGGCGUCUUCCAGGUUGCUUACUCCGUGCGGGAGCAGCUGUUUAAUCUCGCCGGGGAUGGCCAGCAAGACGCAACCCCACCAAAAGCAAGGGUCCCCAGGUCGAGGCAGUGUUGGGCGUUUCGGGAGAAGCCAUUCGGGCCACUGGGCCGAGCUAUGGCCUUGUAAUAUACAGCUGCAACAUGUAAUUGAAAAUUUCUAAAAUUUCGCCGCUUCGACGCCACUGUCCGAGCGUUAAUUUUCGUGGAACGUUUACGGCUCGAGAACGGAGGAGGCUUCUUCGGCUGCCGAAGAGAGUUUCGCCGGCGAAAGGAGAAUAUCGCACCUCCGUUAAUUUUGUAACGUUUCCAGUGGUUUCUAGAAUUGCUACGGUCAUCUAUAGCCGGAAAGUGCAUAGCCGAUGGCUCUCCGGCAAAGCCGGUUAAAUAUUUCUGCAUUGACGGAAGUUUCAAAGCGCUGUCGCCCCAGUUUCGCACGCGGUCUUCCCCAUUGUAAUCGACAUUUCCUAGAUCGAUGCCGUCCUAUGGACGUUUCUUCGGGCCGUAGCGUCGUAGCGCCGUUCACGCAGAAAACCAUUCCGGGGUAUACGCGGAAAAAGGAAGACGGUAAUUAAUGCAAUUAAGAUGCAACGUGGACGGGGCGGUGUCCGGUGCACCCGUACGCGCGCGCGCGCGCGUGCGUCUGUGUGUUCGUAGCGCGCACACGCGGGAGAUCGUGCGCGGCUCGAAUUAAAUGCGCAAGCAAAAACGAACAUAAUGUCUGUCUCCGGGUUCUCGUAACAUUCCCAUAACGAUCGCAUAAUAUUUUCAUAAUAUUCGCGCGCGAUAAACGGCAAGGAUAUCGGGGCGCACGCGUUUAUCGAACUCGGGCUCGGCCGCGGGUCUCGGGCCCACGCGUACCCCGCAAUUUCUCUAUCAUUGGAAAAAGAGCAACGUGAUGUAAGUAGCUGCUCGCUUUAAUUGGCCGGCACAGGAAUGGGAAAAAAUCGUGUUAAAUUGCACGCGACGAGAAAUAGUUUCCAACUUUCGCGAGAUCAGAGAUUCUCGUACGGAAUUCUUAACACGCGACAAUGCCGCGUAAACUGUGUCGGAAUAACGACGACCGACCUGUUAUCCGUUAUUUUUUAAAUUUCGUUUCUGAAACGUUUCUUUCGAUUUUCAAUUCAAUUUCGUUCGCGUUAUAUCACAAUUCUUAAUCGUUCAACGCGAAACGUUGCGACAUCUUCGAAUUUGCGAAAUUUGCACCUCUGUUAUUUUUUUUCAGCUUCAAGAUCUGUU